rnacentral:rRNA from 1 species
CAGUAGCCGCGGGAAUACGAAGGGGGCUAGCGUUGCUCGGAAUGACUGGGCGUAAAGGGCGCGUAGGCGGAUUGGAUUGUCAGGCGUGAAAUUCCUGGGCUCAACCUGGGGGCUGCGCUUGAUACUUGGUUGCUUGAGUGGGGAAGAGGGUCGUGGAAUUCCCAGUGUAGAGGUGAAAUUCGUAGAUAUCGGAAGGAACACCUGUGGCGAAAGCAGCCCCCUGGGCCAAUACUGACGCUCAUGCACGAAAGCGUGGGGAGCAAACAGGAUUAGAUACCCCCGUAGUCCCUGUCUCUUAUAC